UACGUAGGGUGCAAGCGUUAAUCGGAAUUACUGGGCGUAAAGCGUGCGCAGGCGGCUUUGCAAGACAGAUGUGAAAUCUCCGGGCUUAACUCGGAAAGGUCAACUGAUACUGUGCGACUAGAGUGCAGAAGGGGCAACUGGAAUUCUCGGUGUAGCGGUGAAAUGCGUAGAUAUCGAGAGGAACACCUGCGGCGAAGGCGGGUUGCUGGGCUGACACUGACGCUGAUGCGCGAAAGCCAGGGGAGCGAACGGG
rnacentral:rRNA from 1 species